AGCAGGAUAUGAGAACCAUCUCUCUGCUAACAGCUAAUAGUGUAUGGAUUGAACCUUGAAUGCGAAAUGAUCGACAUUCAGUGGCUGGGGAACAAAGUGAAUGAGAGAUAAUAUGAAGGACACAUGGAUCCAACAGGAUGCAUAUGGAACAAGACUGUGUUUUGGCUCGGACACACAUCCUUUUGGAAACGAACGGUGAUCAUAUGCGUCCCGCUCAUAACAACAAUGGAAUGAUGUAAUCCACCGAGGCUAGACCUCAGAACCCAUUAUAGUGUCUGCUGAAGCUCCUGUGAUGUCUGCUGGGAUAGCCAUGUUUACCACCCUCAACCUCAGGCUGUUUCCCACUGAGAGCUUCAUGCCCAACAAGGGUGCAGCACACCGAAUCCCCCCUGAUUCAGGAGCUCACGUAAACAACCUGCGGGCAGCACCUCCUCUCCCCAGACUGUACCUGGUUACUAAGAUCGCAUACUGCUCCCAUAAAGAACACCUCCAGAUUUCUCCAGAAGUCACCUCAAGAAGUCUUUUCUAUUUCUUUUAGAGGGACAUCUGUAAACUCGGCUGUGUUGGAUUGCGACCUUGCCUUUAUCAGAAAAUAGGGGUGUGCAGUUAAGCCAUCUCUAAGUAAAUACAGGAGAUUACAUGCCUCAUUGCUCCCGUCCUCCAUCACAGACUGAACAGAGCAUAUGCAUGGAGUUUCGCUGUGUUUACCACAACCACGCGGUCUCUCCGUUACAGAAGAACGCUGUGAUGACAGGGUCUGCUAUCGGAGAGUCCGUGAAGUUCCUGUCCUCACCGGAGGACAAAGAAGGACUAGAGCAUGGAGGUACAAUUCAUCUAGACCUUGGUAACCUUAGAUGUUUCAAGGUCCUGGGCAUAUUUCAAUAUCUAUUAGUGACGAAUACUGGCAGAUCUUCAGAACGCCGCUGGUCGUCCAUGAUUCGGGGAAACCUAGAGGGAGAGAGUCCUUACCUCACAUCUGUUAUUCUCGCAAACCUGGUGUGCGAAGAGUAUAUACUAACCGUAGUGAGCCUCUAUCCUGAGGGAGCAGUAAAGGGCUCCCAAACACCCAAAGAGGGCGAGACCAGACCGAAGACAUUGUUGCAGUUUCCAGGCAACACAUAGAACGAGCCUGUGGAGAAAAGGUGGAGGAGGUGCAUCACAGGCCGGGGCGGCUCACAUGCGCACGGGGCCCGGAGGCUUCGGCGUGAUUAAUGGCACAGGUAUGUGCUACAGCAGGCAUCCUCCGAGAACCUACAGAUCAGUCUUCCUGUAAUACAAAUCCGACAUUUCGCUCCCCUCCCCUUUCUCCAUCCCACCCCACCUGCUACUGCAGCACCAUCAUCAGAAGCUCAGCUUCUCACUGCCAAGUGCAUCAGCGACAUCACUCUCAUAAAUCAUUCCCAAACAAAACACGCUUAAUCUGUGACGUGCAGGCCUGACACACAAAUUUAUUACCUGUGUGAGAUGCACAACAACAUGUCCCUAGCACCUUCUGUCUGUCUCGGAGGAGAAAAACUAAUACGGAUGGGAACGGGGAGGGAGGACAAUUGCUAAACUUCGCGCUUGGCGUAGGGAUGCUUGUUGAGUGCGAGAGACAAAGCAUUUACGAGGCUGGUUAAUUUCAAGGGCUUAUUACAGCACAGAGAGCUCUUUCUUCUGCCGCCUCGCUCUUGCCAAAGGAUUUUACUCAAGCACAUUUGUAAGACAUGAAUACAUAAGUCCUUUUCAUGGAUUAGGUUGGCAAUGAGAUGAAUGGUCUGUGGUAUGAGUCAAAUUGCCUGAUUGCAACUGGCUGUUUUAAGUGGAGGAGGUUAAUGAAACAAAAGCUUACCUCUCUAAUCCCAAAACAAGGAAAAAAACAAAUGUAAACUCGCUUUAUGAGCUUAUCACAAUUCAUAUUCUGCAGCAUUAUGCACAUUCAGCUCCAAUGAGUUGAAAAAUGUAACGAAUUGUUCUAGAUUUUUUUAAGACAGUGUUGUGAUAUGUAACACAAGAAUGAUCGCUUUUACAUCAUCUCAAAUUGCAGUGUGUGUGUUGUUGUUUUUUUUAACUCCACAAUGUUAUAUUUGCUGAUGUAUUGUCAUUGGGAAAGUGUUACUGGAGCUCUCUGCUUUUCAGCAUGGUUAUUUGAUGUAUUACUUCUGGAAUGUAGACAAGCGAAUCCACAGAUCUUUACUUUUGCAGACAAAGCCACAGUGAUUACAGUCAGGUUAUAAGAGCAGUGAAAAUCACAUGGGAGUUUCCCCUGGGGAUCUGCCUUUCUGCAUUUUACACGACUUUUAGACGUGAAUCAGCAUGAGCAUGUUGGGAUGCUUCAGGAGUAAAGCAAACAGAAAUUUUAGUUUGGUUUGUGCUCAAGAGUUUAAUAGUUGGAGGAGUGUUUUAACACAUUUUGUUUCAACAUCUUUGUGUUUGUGCUUUAAAUAGCAAGGAUGUAUUAAAAUGAUCAAACGUUACAGGAAAGACUGCAACUUUAUACUUUCUUUUCAUCAAACAUUUCAGUGGUUUCCACUGUGAUAGAUUGAGCAGUUCACCAUAUCACAAUGUUUUCAGAUGAUCAUGUGACUGAAGAGUAAUUGCUGCUAGAAAUCCAGUUUUACCAACUCAGGAAUUAAUUACAUUUUUAAAAAUAUAUUUAAAUAUGAAAUGGUAGUUUGAAGUAAUGAUAAUAAUAUUGUCUUGUGGCAGUAUAAUUUAACACAAAGACUUCUAUUGGUUAUCUCGGCAGGAUGUUGAUCACAUAAAAUUGUGGUUUUACCUUGUAAAUCAUUUCUAAUUGGUUAAACUGCCCCUAUGGCAGUAUCUAUUCUUAGUGUGCCAUGACAGUUUUGCAGUGAGGUUGAGCAGCAAGGGAUGUGCAGUACUUGUGUCAGGUGUUCGAUGAACAUCUUCUCUGGAAACUCUUUGGUCGUGUGUUAAUGAUUUCAGUACAAGGUCUUUGUGAAAUGAUAAAAGCCUCUGUGUUUUAGUUCUGUGUUUGGCCUUAUUGAUCAAAUGCUUUUUAUGGCGUCUACCUUACUGUCCUAACUUAAGAUACUGUAAAGUGCACAAGGAUAUUGAUUGU